rnacentral:lncRNA from 1 species
GGAGAGAUGCAAAUCAAAACAACUCUGAGGUAUCACCUCACACCUAGAAGAUUGGCUAACAUGACAGUAAAGGAAAGUAAUGAAUCUUGGAGGAGAUGUGACAAAAUUGGGACAUUAAUGCAUUGCUGGUGGAGUUGUGAAUUGAUCCAGCCAUAGCACUGCUGGGUUUGUACCCCAAAGAGAUAAUAAGGAGUUAUAAACCCUAAAUGAUCACCCUAGUCAAAUAUCAAUAAUAUGGAAAUAGUUCUUGAACCAGUGGAAUUGUGUGUCAGCUAUGGGAGGGAUUUUGGAGGAGGGGAGGAAAAUAACAUGAUUUUUGUAAUCCUGGAAAAAUACUCUAAAUUAAUCAAUUAAAUAAAAUUUAAUAAAAAAUUUUAAAAAAAAAUAAAAGAUCAGACUGGAAUAUUAGUAGAGUAUACUCAGGGUUCUUCUGUUGCCUAUUGUAGAUAUGAAGCAUGAAAGGCAGCUACUCUAUUGUGAAUGGGAAAAAGAAGAUUUCGAGACAUCACUUUUACAUAGUGCAUUUACAUUUACAUUUACAACCAGUCUUUACAACAACCUGGAUGAUAUUUAUCUAUUGCACAAUGCAUCUCACAACUGCAGAAUAGAAUCAGAGAAUUGCAAGAGCUAGGAAUACUUGUUCAGGCUGGACCUAUAGAUUCUACAUUAUCCAGGUGACACCAUUUACAUAAAAAAUUUUACUAGGACUAAUGCCACAGAACCAGUGUGACUAGGAGCUUUCGAUAUUCUGCUCAUGACACCUAAGGCUGUAAAGGUUGCUGGUAAAGAUUUGUGGCUGCAUUGCUCACACGUGAAGAGGAUGUCAUAGGAAGAAGAGAUUACAUCAGUUGAAGAAGCAGGUGAAGUUGGUAAGAAGAGGAAAAAAACAAUAACACAACAUGACAAAAGAUGAACAACACAAUAGAGACAACUGCGACAACAGACAAUGGACAAGGGACUUACUAUGGACAAGAUUUCUUAAGGACAAGGGAUUGUUUGAAAAAACAUAUAACAACAUUGUUACAAUCACAAACACACUUGGGAGGAUAAAAGUGACAGCAUUAUAAGAGCAACAAUCAACAAAAGACACUGGCAGCAUAAAAUUUCCUGUCAGGUUGCCUCCAGUAUAAAGUGGACCAACUGCGACCGACAUUCCGAGGAUAGAACUCUGUUUUUCACUUGGUUUCCCUCAGCACAGGUUUGUAUUUUAGGAUAAUUAUGGUAACAGGUGAGUAUGCACACUUCAGAUAGGCAUAGUUUAUCAGUAUCACACACACACGAUAGCACAUAGCAAUAUUAAGGAUUCUAGAUAGAUACAUAUUAUAUAGACAUAUACUAGUAACAAUAGAUAGCUUACUUAACUUAUGAGGAUUUUAUAUCCACUCUAUAGAUCCAUUUUACUCAGAACAGGGGAUAAUUUUAAAUUCUUCAAAUAGUGUGACUUCUCUUCUGUACAUAUAUAUAUUUGUAUUUACAUGUGUUAAUAUGUAUUUAUGUUUAAAUAUGUAUAUAUGGACUUUUGUAUAAUUUUUCAAUAGAAGUUAU